UAGCAUGUGUAGGUUACAUGGUUUUCUCUGUUAUCUCCAUCAUUGUAAUCCCAUUUAUGUUCCCUGCACUGAAGUGGUACUAUGUGCUCGUCGCAUACAUUCUUGCACCAUCUUUGAGCUUCUGCAAUGCCUAUGGUGCUGGUCUAACUGACAUGAACAUGGCAUACAAUUAUGGCAAAGUGGCUCUCUUUGUGCUUUUUUGCCAUUGUUUGCACCAUCUUUGAGCUUUUGCAAUGCCUAUGGUGCUGGUCUAACUGACAUGAACAUGGCAUACAAUUAUGGCAAAGUGGCUCUCUUUGUGCUUGCUGCAUUAUCUGGUAAAGACAAUGGUGUAGUCGCUGGACUUAUUGGAUGUGGACUGAUCAAGUCCAUUGUAUCUAUA
rnacentral:lncRNA from 1 species